rnacentral:sRNA from 1 species
GCUGGGUAUGGUGGCACAUGCCUGUAAUCCCAGUGGCUCGGGAGGCUGAGACAAGAGGAUCGUGAGUUCAAAGCCAGUCUCAGCAAAAGUGAGGCACUAAGCAACUCAGUGAGACCCUGUCUCUA